GCUGCUGUAGCUGUUGCUGAUGCUGCAACUGUUGCUGUUGGGGUUGCUGCUGCUGGAGUUGCUGUUGAUUCAUGUAAGGAUUCAUUCCAGGCAUCAGCUUAGGUGGACCCAUGUUACCCAUAGCUCGCUGCAGGUUAGCUCGGUUUAAUGUAUUCGGAUCCAUCAUAGAUAGACCAGCAGAGCUGGGGUGCAUCUGCCUGGCACCUGACACGCCACUCAUCCCGGCUUGGGGAGCACCCAUUCCACCUCCUCGGUUCGCCAACCUAAGAUUUGUAAACACAGCGGCACUCUGUUGUGGUGUUAAAGCACCAGAUCGGAGUUGCUGGCUUAUAACAUUCAAAUUUGACGCUGGAUGAUUCAUUGGGUUCUGCCCCAUGUUAUUGAUGCCAGGAAGAGACAUUGACGAUGUGAUUCCGGUUCCUCCAAGCCCUCUUCCCGCCAUAUUCAUUUGGUUGCCAAAAGCCCCAAGCGCAGCAAUACUGUUGCCCAUGCUUCCCAUUCCCAUAUUCAUGGCUACACCUGACCCCUGUUGCCCCAUCAUCAUCUUCCUCUGAAUCGCCGCGUGGUGCUGUAACAUCUGCAGUUGAUGAGGCGAAUGGUUGUUGGUCAUCUGACCACCCAGCGCCAUGCCAGAGCUCUGGCUCAUCGAGUUGAUCGCUGAUAGAGGAUUUGUAGGCAACAUCAUAGAUGCCGCUCUCUGCAUUUGUGGAUGCUGCUGCUGUGUAAACAUGGACUGUUGAUUUCUCUGUUGUAGCUGUGAUAGCGGAGACUGUUGUGGGUCAUGCUGUUGUGGUUGCAUAGGCAUGGAGACACCAGACAACAGUCCUUGAGACAUUUGCAAAGCCUGAGAAUUUGUCGGAGGGAGCAUCCUUGCAUUUGCAAGAACAUUCUGGGUUGAGUUCAUAGGUGCACUUCCAGCAUUCCCUUGUUUCGAUGCCUCAUUGGGCGCUUGUCCAGUAACUGCAUCCCCAUACUGUUGCAUUUCAUUUGCAGAGUUACCUCUUGGAACACCACCCGCAGAAUUCUGUUGACUGCUGCUUGGCUGUUGCCUGUUGCUGCUGUUGCUGUUGUUGCUGAGGCAGCUCAUGUUGUUGUAGCUGCUGAGACUGAGCUUGCUGCUGAGACAUAGGCUGCUGUAGCUGUUGCUGAUGCUGCAACUGUUGCUGUUGGGGUUGCUGCUGCUGGAGUUGCUGUUGAUUCAUGUAAGGAUUCAUUCCAGGCAUCAGCUUAGGUGGACCCAUGUUACCCAUAGCUCGCUGCAGGUUAGCUCGGUUUAAUGUAUUCGGAUCCAUCAUAGAUAGACCAGCAGAGCUGGGGUGCAUCUGCCUGGCACCUGACACGCCACUCAUCCCGGCUUGGGGAGCACCCAUUACACCUCCUCGGUUCGCCAACCUAAGAUUUGUAAACACAUGUGG
rnacentral:lncRNA from 1 species